AGCUGAGCUCAGGCAGGAGAUGGGGCUGAGAUGGAGCAGCAGCAGUAGCCAUACUGCCGUGCAACAACUGUUUCAGCACUGAAACUGUUGACCUGCUUGCCAGCAGGGCUCCCUGCAUCUACUGAUUGAAAACAGCAAGGCUCAAAGGCUUACACUGGACAUGAAGGUAAAACUCCAGUGGGUUCAGGCCAGGGUAAAGUGCACUUCUGGGAUCGCUUACCAACCCCUUCAGUAGCUGAUCCAGGAACUGGAGUCUGGAGAUGAUUAAUCAUCAUAUGACCAACUCUGAAAACUGAAAACAUCUUAAAGAUCUAACCUUCUCAUGUCCCCAUUUUAUUGUUUUUUCCA